CCAUCAUGCCCAGCUAAUUUUUGUGUUUUUAGUAGAGACGGGUUUCACCAUGUUGGUCAGGCUGGUCUCAAACUCCUGACCUCAUGAUCUGCCCACCUUGGCCUCCCGGAGUGCUGAGAUUACAGGUGUGAGCCACCGUGCCCAGCCUCAACCUAGAAUACUAUACUUGGCUAGCUUAGCCUAGGCACUCUGCUAAAAAGCAAAGUUCCAGGCAGGGAUUAAAAUACUUAUAUUUUGCUUGGGAGGUAUAAGCCUAAGGUGGUGAGCAUGAGAAACCCAGUAAGUGAGGCAUGGGAAGAUGUGAAGCAUCACCGCACAGCCACCAAUUCACAAUGAGCCCCAAAGAACCAUACUCAGCAUGUGUGUGUGCUCAGUACAAGGGUGUACCCUUCCUAUCUGUUUUUCAUUGGUCAAGAUUAACUCCAUGAUACAAUACACACUCUCACCCCCCACCCAUAUACAUUUCUAGGUUACAUCAUCCAGCCUCAGUGACAGGUCAGGAACUAGACCUUACACUUUGCAUUGGGACAUUACAUCCAAAUCGGGAAGAAGAGGGGCAACCCCACACAGAUGGGGCUCUGACCAUAGAGGGAAAGAAGGUACACUAAAAUUAACCUUACCUAAAAUUGCAUCAUUCUUGAGAAGUCAUUGAGGUUGUAUUUCUGAAAACCAAGGAAGUAAUCUAAAAUGAAUGAAGAAAUAAGACCUAAAAAGCAAUGGCUUUACCCCAGGAGAGCAAAGAAUGUUCUAUGAUUAUGGCUGGACAGUUGGCUCUGAGAACAACUAUUUCAGACAGAAGCAGGGGACAAUGCUCCAACAAGAUCUACAGGAACAGCUUGAGCAUAUGGUGAAAGCAUUUGGUGGGAGUUUUAAAAAAGAAUCUAUUCAAACAUCACUCUAGAAAUAUUCCCUUUGAGUGGUAUAGUCAUGAUAUUAAAUUCGUAGAGAAAGAAAAAUACUCCUAGCACACCACUCAGGUCAAUGUUGAAAAGAUGUCUUUCAUAAUAAUGUAAAUGUGUAUUGAUUUUCUAAUUUUAAAAUUAAUUAACAGACAAAUUACAGAAGACUUAGACUAUUACAAAAUAGAAUGUAAAGUUAUCAACCAUGACAAUAUAAAAGCACAAUGGAAUGGGUGGAAUAUUGACCACACCUGAGGGAGAAAAAGGAUAUGUCAUCUGUUUAUGUAGAUAUGACAACAGGAAGUUUCAUAGAAAUAAUUUCACAUGCCCAGAUGUGUCACAGAAGUAGCUGAAAGACACUGGAUCUGAUAGGGAAAAUGGACAGAUUACACUAUGUCCAAGGGCCCCACCCAACCCUGUUGACUUAUAUAAGAUUCUGGAACCAUUACUCAAAUUCCAUGGGUGACAGUAAGUCUAUAAUCCUAAAAAGACUGGGAUUAGUUUUCCUGCUACAUGAUAGAAGGUGCUUAAAAGAGAAUUACACUUUGUUAGAGAAAAAUAGAGUCAUACAUCGUGCACACCUCAGUUUGGAGACAGCUUUACAACUACUCUAGAUGUGUGCAGUUAUUUAAUGUAACAUUGAAAACAUUCUAAUUGUUCAUCAAUAAGAAUUUCUAGUACAAUGUAUGUUCACUGCAGCACCGUUUACAAUAGCAAAGACUUGGAACCAACCCAAAUGCCCAUCAAUGACAGACUGGAUAAAGAAAAUGUGGCACAUAUGCACCAUGGAAUACUCUGCAGUCAUAAAAAAAAAUGAGUUCAUGUCCUUUGCAGGGACAUGGAUGAACCUGGAAGCCAUCAUUCUCAGCAAACUAACACAGGAACAGAAAACCAAACACCGCAUGUUCUCACUCGUAAGUAGGAGUUGAACAAUGAGAACACAUGGGCACAGGGAAGGGAACAUCACACACCGGGGCCUGUCAAGGGGAGGAAGAGCAUUAAGACAAAUACCUAAUGCAUGCGGGGCUUAAUACCUAGAUGACAAGUUGAUAGGUGCAGCAAACCACCAUAGCACAUGUAUACCUACGUAACAAACCUGCACUUUCUGCACAUGUAUCCCAGAAUUUAAAGUAAAAUUUUAAAAAAAGAAGUUAUAGUGUAUCCACACACUGGAACACAUGUUAAAUAGUCAUAUAGUUAGAUCUAUAUGUGUGACUCUAUUCAUGUUACAAAACAACACUCUACGUUUAUGUGUGUGUGCAUGCAUGGGGGAAUGGGGGCAUACAUGCACACGCAUGUGUUUGGGUGCAUAUCAAAGGUCUGGAAAGACACACAUCAAAGUAUUAAUAUGAUAAUCUGGGGAAAUAAGAGGAAUUUGCGUUAUGUGAAAGGGAAUUUUUAUUUUUACUUUAUAUUAUGUAUGCUUUGUUGUUUCUGAGGAUAUUUUAAUUCAGAUUAUGCAUGAUCUGAUUUGUGCACAUAUAUUGUUUAUAAGAUGUUAGCCUCUUCUAAAUUUUGAUAAGAAAUUCAUUUCCAGGCCACUCAUGUCAUCCCUGUUUCAAAAACCCUUGAAGGCUUCCUGCUGCUUCAAGAAAGAGACUUAACUCCUUAAUGUGGCUUAAAAGAGAUUUCAUGAUUUGGCUUGUGUUUACUCCUUUUGCUUUACUUCUUCAUUUCUUGAUAGUAUACCUACUGUCAAGGGGGCAAUCUCAAAGCUCUUCCAACCUGUCACAGCAUUAUGUGCAAAGUCCAUAAACUUUAGUUGAUACUGAGACGUUUCCAUCAUUUCUACUGUCAAGCCAGUCAAUUCUCAGUUAACAGCAAACAACAGACUACUAGCAUUAUGUUUUCCAUCUUUCCCUCCAAAUCUACACAUUCAAUAGGCACAUGAUUUUCUUCCCAAGUGACUAUAGGCAACAUUUAUAACAAAUGCUUUGCCUCUGCUUAACAGGGAUCUUCAUCUUUUCAGUCUUCAAUAUGUUUCCUUAACACCCACCAACCUACCACUCUGUCAAAGUCACUCAUUUUAGAUUUUGUUAUAGUAUGCCCUAGCCACUGUAUCAAUUUCUGUUUUACUUAGUCAGCACCUGGUUCUGCUGAAGUAACAACCCCCAAAAUCUCAAUGGCUUAAAGCAACUAGAGCUUAUUUAUUGCUACAUUAUGUGAUCAUUGCAUGUUGACUGGGGCCAACAUUUUUCUUUCUUAUGGACCCAAGCUAAGAUGGACUCUAUCUUCUUGCUUCUACAAUGUGCCUGGAACUUUACAUACUUCAUCUUGUUUAAUCUUCACAACAAUUAUUAUCUGUGCUUUCUAGGAGAGAAAACUGAGUCAUGGAGAUAUUAAGCAAUUUUCCCAAUGUCAUGCAUCUAAGAAACAAAUCAGUUAGGACUUGAAUCUGGACAACGUGUUUCCCCCUAAGCUUACCCUAUACCUUCGUAAGAUAUUUAUGAAGAGUCAUGGUAAAUGAAUGGAGAUAAUAAAAUUGACUGGGAUGGGAAGAAGGGGUAGGGGUUUAUCUCAAAAACUGAUCUUGGAAGAGAAUGAUAAUUUCAAACUUAAAUUUUAAUUAGUGACAGUAUAUAAAAGCAAAAUUAUGUUAUGAUGUUAAACAAACAGCUAAAAAUUGGGUGAGAAUAACAUGUCUCUAUUUUAGUAAUUCCAUUUACUCAGCAAAAUGCUUAUGGCACGAUUCUUUAAUUUAGUGCAGUACAGCUUGUAUGUCUAGGGCCACUGUGAGUCCUGGAGUGCCUGGGAUUAUCUGCGUAGAUUGGACAUGAAGGUUUAAUGGCCAUGAAACAGGCAGUAUUGCUUGACGCCCUAGGAUUUGUAUGGGAGAGCUGAGGUAGACGCUCAACCCCCGGCAGCAUUCUAGGUGGAAAAGAACCACUAUAAAAGGAAAAAGCUGGGGUCCUCUCACAGACUUUGCUCCGGAAGCUGAACAGAGUGUGGUGGAGAGGAGCUUUUUGAAUGCAGCACUGAGUAGUGUGUCCCUUUGUCCCCUGAUGCAGGAUGAGAGUUCAGGUGUCUGUUAACUAGUUGAGCUCCAGGAAACUGGGAACUGAGAACAGACUAUAGAGGACCAUCAUGUUUUGAGGUCAUGUGGAAUUGUCUCUAACACUUGAGGACCAUUUCCCAAUCCAGCAAGUAUCUGACAUGGCAGAAAAGCACAGCAAUGUCAGUGAGUCUGUGAGGCAAGUAACACCUGUAGCGACAGCUACAGCCAGAAGGGAUGCCAUCCACCUCAUUAGUGUAGGACACAGAUGAUCACUCUCUCCUCCUUGCAAAACUUUCUUCACCUGGCUUUCAGGACCACACACACACUAUUCUAGUUUUCUUUUUUACCUCACUGCCUGUCCCCAAGUCUUUCUUGUCCCGGUAAAUAGAAACUCCAUUUGCUUAGGCCAAAUAUUUAGCCUACCCCUGACUCUUCUUUCUCAUACUUACCACAUACAAUUCAUUAUUAAAUCCUGUCAACUUUCCCUUCAAGCCAUUUCCAGAAUAUGAUCCCUUCUCCCACACUUCUUACUAUAGCCACAGUGACCAUGUCAAUCCUCUGCUCAAAACUGUCAGAGCUGCAUCAUCUCACAGAUAUGGUCCUACAAGAUCAGAUUUCUUGUCACCUAUUUGAUCUUAUUUCCCAUCAUUCUCUCCAUUUCUCACUGAGCUCCAGCUACACUGGCCACCUUGCUGCCCCUCACACAUACUGAAACUAGUGCCACCUUAAGAUCUUUACAUUUGUGCCCCUCCCCAACUUCCUGGAAUAUGUGGCUUGCUCUCUCACCUCCUUCAGGUCACAGCUGAAAUGCCAUCUUUAUUAGAGAAAUAUGCUCUGACAGUACCAUCUAAAAUAGCAGCCCUGCCACCAUCCCCUCCUUGAAUAACUCCCAAUCUCCCUCUCCUAUUUCUUAUUAUUACCUCUCUAUAGCACUUAUUGCCAUCUGAACAUAUUUGUUUAUUGUCUGCCUUUUCACUAGAAUGUAAGCUGUAGGACAGAAAAGUUUUAUUUGUUUCCUGAGAGCCUGGGCUUGUUUUGGCACACAGUGAAUACAAAGUAAAUAUUUACUGCAUGAAUUACUGACCUAACCCCAUGUUGCGUUUGUAGAAAGAGACCAGCAAAGGAGAAUGAGUCUUGGGAAGUUAGGCUAAAAGAGGCCUUGGAAAGGCCACUGAGGAAUCCAAAUGAGACACAGCUGAGAGACCUUAAAAAAACAGAAGGAAUUGGAAUUCCAGUGAUUUCUCUGAAAAAGAGUUGCUACAAACCAGAGACUGCUGCUGUUUUUCAGGGGCCUAGGAAAUGUGGUUCCAGCAUGAUGAGUUUAAAGUUUGACAUAUUUUAAUCAGCUUAGCAAAGGCAUUCGUUUUAUAGAAAAAGCUGGAUAUAUGUGACUAUAUAUCUUGGGUAGGGGGUCAAAAUGAGCAGAGAGCCAUCAUUUUGAAUCUUAGGGAGAGCACAAACUUCGAGGCUUACAUUCACAAUACAAUCAAUGGCAUCCUUCUGUCCCCUGGUGGCCACACAGCUAAACUGCAUGAAGAGAUAAAGUCUUUGAAGAUAAAACAAAACAAUAAUUUCAAGGUAAUAUCUUUCAAAGCCUGUACCAACCAUACAUGUGUGUGCAGUGCAUGUGUGUGUGUGUGUGUUUUAGCAUAAAGAUCUCCCAAGGUUUCUUUUUCAUGAAACAUGUCCGUGCUGCCUUACUCUGAGUUCAGCAUUAAAGGGGACCAGUUGAAUGGAAGACAUUACCCUGACAGCUACCUUUUGCUGUAAAACACACCCCCCAGUCCAGACCACAAACAAGCUCCUUUCAUAGCCAUCUGCCAGGUGUGUUUGUAGAACUGAUAUCUGUUGAAGCUUGGAGGUUUGUAUAGGCAACCUUAAAGUCUGGGAUUCUACAACUUUAUGAUGAUUCUUUCUCAUUCUAUCCCCUUCCAGUCUAUGAGUCUGGGCAUCCCAAAUUUUCCCACUUCAGGCUUUCACUUGUUGGAAGCAUCUACAUCAUCUUUGGAUUCACUUCUAUUUGUCCCAUUUUAGUUCUGCAAAACCUUACAACAAGUAUUCUUGAAGAAAAAAUACCAGAAUAGAUCCUGCACAGAUGAAAAGAAUUAAUUUAGCAUUGUAUAUCUGUUACAUGCAAGCUUGUAUAGAUUUAGGUAUGUGUAACAGAUAUCUAAAUGUCUGUUCAAUUCUUGGUUUGGAGUUGCUAGUCCAUGAUAUUAAAGGUGAAAAAGGUCCUGUUCAUUUUAUAGAUGAAUUAAGUGCAGUGAAAUGCUUACUUCAAGAUCACAUAGCCAAUUGGAGGUAGAGCCAGGACUAGAAUGCAGGCCUUCUUACACCUUACCAAAUGCUGCUGUUGGCAGCAAAGAGACAAAGCUAUCAGCAUCGACGAAGCUGACCCCAGUGAACAGUGCUCCCUGUGGUUUUAGAUAGUUCAACAAACCUCGUUCAGCUCAGCAAACAAGAAACUAAACUUCAUGACAUCCUUAGUUUUGCUCUGUGCCUGGCUGCCUAGACCUACCAAUCAUGAUUUCCAGGGGAUUCCAACUCCAUGAUAUCUCUUACAUUCAUCAAUUUUCUUCCAACUUCCACAGAAAUUGCUGUGGUUCAGACGAGUCAUCUAGAAGAAACCCUGUUGCAAGUUCUAUACAGCACACAUGUGCCAACACACACACACAGAGACACACACACACACAUGCUUGCAUGUACACAAACACACACACACACACACACACACACUACCCAUAAGUAUAUGUAAAGAGAACGGCGGGUAUUAUAUCCCAAGCAUGCCAAAAACAGUAGGCCCAGUGUGUAUGACUGUUGUGCUUUUUUGGGGGGUAAGCUGUGAUUCACAAUGAAUUCCAUUUUAGAAUGAUAAUUUUAAGGGCUGGCACAGGAUCUCUUUAGCUAUAUAUGUAUACAUUGUAUAUCUGUACAUGAGAGAGCCACUUGCUAUUUUUAAGAAUAUUGUUUUCUCGCUUCUUAAAACAAAGUAUUAUUUUUAAAUUACAGAAGAAACACUAUUUAUUAAGAUUUGAAAGGUAUACAUCCUAUAACCCAGUAAUCUCACUUCUAAAGUGGAUACAUGGACCCAAGGAAGUUUGUACAAAGAUAUUCAUAGCAGCAUUGUUUUGUAAGAGUGGAACAGUAGAAACUACCUAAAUGUUCAUCAAUAGGAAAAUGAAUAAACUGUGUCCUAUCCAUACUGUAGAUACAGUAUGGCAGCUAAACUCAACAAGGUGAGUCUGUAUAUACUGACAUGAAAAAAAAUCCCCAAGGCAUACUGUUCCAUAAAAAGAGCAGUCUGCAGAAUCAUAUAUAUUAUUUACAAUAAAAAAUACAUUCAUUUAUUCAUGUAAAUGUGCAGAAAAGCCUGGAAUCUUAUACAUCAAAAUGACAGUAUAUUUUACCUCAUGGGAGUACAUGGGAAGGUGGGGGACAAAGAGAAGACAAGAUGAAGGGCAAGGGGCAUUUUAGGCUUUUGUUAUAUCAUGAUGUUUUGGCUGAAAAACAAUAUCAUGUAUUGUGUAAUUUAAAUUAAGUACUAAAAAUUAAUAUGUAAUUGUUUAACUAUUUCAAAUCAUAUAAUACAUAAAAUAAAAAGUGAUAUUUCAUCUUUACUUUUCCAUAAUUUAUUUAUCCCUUCCCCUUUUGGUGGACACUUUAAAGUUGUUUUCAUUUUUUAAAUUUGUUAUUACAAAGAAAAUUCUUCUUUGCUUUUUUUCUUUUUCUCACUCAUGUUAUUAUUUCUGUAGUAUAGAUCUCUAAUACUCUGGUCAUGGAACAUAAGCACUUAAAAAUUUGACAGAUGCUGCCAAAUUGCC
rnacentral:lncRNA from 10 species